UACGUAGGGUGCGAGCGUUGUCCGGAAUUAUUGGGCGUAAAGAGCUCGUAGGCGGUGUGUCACGUCGGCCGUGAAAACCUGGGGCUUAACUCUGGGCGUGCGGUCGAUACGGGCAUCACUAGAGUUCGGCAGGGGAGACUGGAAUUCCUGGUGUAGCGGUGAAAUGCGCAGAUAUCAGGAGGAACACCGGUGGCGAAGGCGGCUUCCUGGCCUGCAACUGACGCUGAGACGCGAAAGCGUGGGGAGCGAACCGG
rnacentral:rRNA from 1 species